CACGUAGGCACCAAGCGUUGUCCGGAUUUAUUGGGCGUAAAGAGCUCGUAGGCGGUUCAGUAAGUCGGGUGUGAAAACUCUGGGCUCAACCCAGAGACGCCACCCGAUACUGCUGUGACUUGAGUACGGUAGGGGAGUGGGGAAUUCCUGGUGUAGCGGUGAAAUGCGCAGAUAUCAGGAGGAACACCAGUGGCGAAGGCGGCUUUCUGGACGGUAACUGACGCUGAGGCGCGAAAGCGUGGGGAGCAAACAGG
rnacentral:rRNA from 1 species